AAAAAGUUUUUCUGGUAUCUUGUCUUCAGGAAAACAUGUAAUUUUUUUGGCUUACUCCAGAUUGUCUUUCACAUUCUCUAGUGAAUUUCUCAUUAUGCUGUCAUGAUCCUAUUCCUUGAUAUGUACCCUACUGCUCUUCUCAAGAAAAGUCUUGGUGUUUUUUGGCCAAGCCAGGUGUGUUGACAAAUUUAUGGCCUCUGCUAUGUUCCCUCUGCCACUACGACCUGCACUUUUUCAUCAGACAUAUUCUGCUCAACUUUUCCAUUUCCAGCUGUAUUAGUCCAUUCUCACACUGCUGUAAAGACAUAAUUACAACACUGGGUAAUUUAUAAAGAAAAGAAGUUUAAUUGGCUCACAGUUCCACGUGGUUGGGGAGACCUCAGGAAACUUAUAAUCAUGGUGGAAAUAAAAGGGGAAGCAAAGACCUUUCUCACAUGGUGGUAGGAGAGAGAGAGAGCGUGUGUGAGGGUGCAGGAAAAACUGCCAUUUAUAAAAUCAUCAGAUCUCAUGAGAAUUCACUCACUAUCAUGAAAACAGCACGGGGGAAACCACCCCCAUAAUCCAGUCACUUCCCACCAGGUCUCUCCCUCAACACCCAGGCAUUACAAUUCACGAUGAGAUUUGGGUGGGAACACAAAGCCUAACCACAUCACCAGCUCAAAUGCUGCAUUCUUAGGGAAAUAAGAGUAUGACACAUAAAUAUAAAUAAACAAAAGUGUAUAUUCAUUUUGCAUGGAACUACUCAAAUUUGCAACUCAAUCUUUAGAAAUAAAAAUGGUUUAAGAAAAGUUUAGGUUUUCUCAGAAAGAGUGUCAGUAAUUUUGGCCUUAGGGUGAAUUGACCUAAUCAAAAUUACUUCCUCUAAUUUACCACUAUUAACAGCACUGCCUUCACAAACUGACAUACUACACCAGUUGAGAGGUAUGUGACAGC
rnacentral:lncRNA from 10 species